rnacentral:lncRNA from 1 species
GGGCGGAUAGUUCGGGUUGUUGACAAAGUUAGAGCCUAAGCCAGUUUGGAAAUUUAUCGGUACCGAAGCUCCGGCCUGAACCUGCUGGGGCAUGAUCGUGACAGAUGGUUUCGGUAAAUUAAUCUCGGGCUUCAUCGGUACAUGCGUUGGAGUAAAGCCAAGGGGUAAUGAGGAUCCUCGUUAGUUUCUUCAACUUUAUCCAUAGGGCCCUUUCCCUUAUCCGUUCCUCC